rnacentral:rRNA from 1 species
GAUGAACGCUGGCGGCGUGCCUAAUACAUGCAAGUCGAGCGAACAGACGAGGAGCUUGCUCCUCUGACGUUAGCGGCGGACGGGUGAGUAACACGUGGAUAACCUACCUAUAAGACUGGGAUAACUUCGGGAAACCGGAGCUAAUACCGUAUAAUAUAUUGAACCGCAUGGUUCAAUAGUAAAAUACGGUUGUGCUGUCACUUAUAGAUGGAUCCGCGCCGCAUUAGCUAGUUGGUAAGGUAACGGCUUACCAAGGCAACGAUGCGUAGCCGACCUGAGAGGGUGGUCGGCCACACUGGAACUGAGCCACGGUCAAGAGUCCUACGGGAGGCACCAGUAGGGAACCUUCCGCAAUGGGCGAAAGCAUGACGGAGCAACGCGGCGUGAGUGAUGACGGUCUUCGGAUCGUAAAACUCUGUUAUUAGGGAAGAACAAAUGUGUACGUAACUAUGCACGUCUUGACGGUACCUAAUCAGAAAGCCACGGCUAACUACGUG